UCCGAUUUUAAAAUUGGAGGUCGAAUCCGCCCCUCCGCCCUUCAGCCCUUCCGCUCUCGCUGUCUUUCGAACUCACUCUCGUUGUCUGAAGAACUCAGGGUUUUGAGCCAGAGAGGAAAUCACGGAUGACAGAUCUCUCUCCCUGAAACAACAAUUUUAAGUGCUCGUUUUCUUCCGUUUGUUUGUUGGCUCGAAGGACUAGCCGAGCAGCCCAUGCUAUUGUGUGGUAAUGCUAUUUAUUACAUGGAGAAGUGAUUAAGGGACCACUGAGGUUUUGCAAAAUAAUACUUAUUACUGAAACUGGACAAGGAAUUUUUUUUGGUGUUUGAGAAUAAUCAUGACUGAUGAUAAGGCAGAGGAUAAGCAAGAAAUUGCACAAGAUGCACCUGAUGCUGUUACUGAUAUUCAUGCAGCAAACAAUGUACUUGCUGAAAACAAGGAUGUAGUAGACAACAAGACAUUAUCUGAUUUAUCUCACAUAGAUGCUACAGAAUUUCCCAACAAAAUAAUCUCUUCAUCUGAGGAUGCAAACACUUGUAUGGAAAUUGAGAACCCUGAGAUUUUCCAUCCUGAUGCUAAGAGUUGUGAGGUUCCCACCAUUGAGGGCAAAGGGUUCAUCCAACCUCAUUGUCAUUCUGAUGACAAAAUUGCAACCUACACUACUGAUAUUGAUCCCUGUGAUCGGCCUGACUACAUGGGGAAAGACAGCUCCUCACAAGUAAGUGAAGAGGAUGAAAUGUCUGAAGAAUUAAAAAAUUCAGUGUCUGGAGUGGAAUUAUCUUCUGGUAAUGGAACUGAGGUAAGGGGUUUGAUUGAUGAGUUGCCCAGGGAUGGGCCUGUUCCAAAGGAGUCAUCUACUGUAAAUGGCAGCAGGGAAGAUGAAGUGAAAAGUGAAGCAAACGUUGAGUCAUUGGUAAACAACAAAAGAAAGGACUUGUUGCCUACUGAAGAAGCGAAGCAGGAAUAUGCAGAUGCAUUGAAUGUCAAAGAAGUGCUACCAACUAGUCAGGUGAAUACAGGAUUGCCAAAGCCAGACAUGGAUGUUGACCAUGAUUCUAAUAUGAACCUUACUCCGAAGUCAUUCCUAUUGGAUACAAAUGCUGUGGGAGUAGAUGAGUCUGGAACAGAGGAAGACCAAGCAGCAUUUAUGAAAGAACUGGAAACCUUCCAUAAAGAAAGGUGCUUGGAAUUCAAGCCCCCACGGUUUUAUGGAGAGCCAUUGAAUUGCCUCAAGCUAUGGAGAGCAGUGAUCAGACUUGGUGGCUAUGAACAGGUGACAUCAUGCAAGCUAUGGCGGCAAGUAGGAGAAUCAUUUAAGCCUCCAAAGACAUGUACUACUGUCUCUUGGACAUUCCGGUGUUUCUAUGAAAAGGCACUGUUGGAAUAUGAAAAGUACAAGAUGCGCAGCGGUGAGCUUCCUUUUGCUGACGCAUCUUUUUCAGAGCCUUCUAGUACUGGUAACCCGGGUAAUCAGGCAUCAGGAUCGGGUAGAGCAAGAAGAGAUGCUGCAGCACGUGCUAUGCAAGGUUGGCAUUCUCAACGCCUUCUUGGAAAUGGUGAGGUUGGAGAUCCUAUCAUUAAGGACAAGAACUCAAUUUCAACACCAAAACGCGAGAAACAACUCAAGAGUAUUGGCUUGCUAAAGCGCAAAAAGCUGUCUCCUGUUGAUAAUGUUGCCAAAGCCGCCACGCGCAUGAAAAUACCAAAAACACAUGCUGAUAUUAAAGCUAAAUGUUCCACACAAUACCUUCAAUGCUUUUUUCCAGGUCAGAAUCAAUGGUCGCUGAUAUUGGGGCUCCUGCUGACUGGGUGAAGAUCAAUGUACAGAAGACUAAUGACUGCUUUGAAGUAUAUGCUUUAGUACCUGGCCUUUUGCGUGAGGAGGUUCGUGUACAGUCUGAUCCAGCAGGACGCCUGGUUAUAUCUGGCCAGCCAGAACAACUGGAUAAUCCCUGGGGUGUCACUCCAUUCAAAAAGGUAGUGAGCUUGCCCUCAAGAAUUGACCCUCAUCAGACAUCUGCUGUCGUUACCCUGCAUGGACAGUUAUUUGUACGCGUGCCGUUUGAGCAAUCAGAUAUAUAAACUAGGAAAGCACUCCAUCUUGGAUAGUGAGUUUGACUUUUACAUGGGGGAAAUGGGUGCUGAGAUCAAAUUUUGUAUUGCACAAAUUCCUCUUUAGUACAAGACUUAGCUUGUGAAUUUUCUUAUUGUUCAGGAACUUGUAUGCGUAUGUAGAUUAAUUUCUUAUACUUCCUGGCAGUUUAUGAUCAUGAUACCUUCCGGUGUAAAAUAGGACGAUGCAUAUUUCCCCUAGAGACUAGAGUUUAGUUGUGACAUUGCAUGGCAGUACAUACUAUGUUACCAACAAUGCCCGGUAGGACUGUUUUCUCUUUUAAUGCUGCAAAAUGUGUAUGGAUAUU